rnacentral:tRNA from 1 species
GCCGCUGUGGCGAAACUGGCAGACGCAAGGGACUUAAAAUCCCUCGGGGGCAACUCCAUACCGGUUCAAGUCCGGUCAGCGGCACCA